rnacentral:tRNA from 1 species
AUCGUUGUAGUAUAAUGGUGAGUAUUCCCGCCUGUCACGUAGGUGACCCGGGUUCGACCCCCGUCAACGGUG